rfam:Branchiostoma floridae genomic scaffold BRAFLscaffold_131, whole genome shotgun sequence.
AUCCUUCUUAGGUCAAUGGGUAUGAUGAGUGGAUAGUCAUGCCUGUGCGUGACAGGUGUCAUCCCCCCAUUGUUACGCAAUCGGCACCUGAGCCUUCUGACC